UACGAAGGGGGCUAGCGUUGCUCGGAAUCACUGGGCGUAAAGGGCGCGUAGGCGGCCAUUCAAGUCGGGGGUGAAAGCCUGUGGCUCAACCACAGAAUUGCCUUCGAUACUGUUUGGCUUGAGUAUGGCAGAGGUCAGUGGAACUGCGAGUGUAGAGGUGAAAUUCGUAGAUAUUCGCAAGAACACCAGUGGCGAAGGCGGCUGACUGGGCCAUUACUGACGCUGAGGCGCGAAGGCGUGGGGAGCGAACGGG
rnacentral:rRNA from 1 species